rnacentral:tRNA from 1 species
GCAAUGGUGGUUCAGUGGUAGAAUUCUCGAAUUCCAUGCAGGAGACCCAGGUUUGAUUCCCAGCCAAUGCA